rnacentral:tRNA from 1 species
AAAGCUUUAAGUUAAAAAAACUAUUAACCUUCAAAGUUAUAAAUAUAUAAUUUUUAUAAGCUUUA